GAUGAACGCUGGCGGCGUGCCUAAUACAUGCAAGUAGAACGCUGAAGGAGGAGCUUGCUCUUCUGGAUGAGUUGCGAACGGGUGAGUAACGCGUAGGUAACCUGCCUGGUAGCGGGGGAUAACUAUUGGAAACGAUAGCUAAUACCGCAUGACAACAGUUAUUGCAUGAUAACUGUUUAAAAGGGGCAACUGCUCCACUACCAGAUGGACCUGCGUUGUAUUAGCUAGUUGGUGAGGUAACGGCUCACCAAGGCGACGAUACAUAGCCGACCUGAGAGGGUGAUCGGCCACACUGGGACUGAGACACGGCCCAGACUCCUACGGGAGGCAGCAGUAGGGAAUCUUCGGCAAUGGACGGAAGUCUGACCGAGCAACGCCGCGUGAGUGAAGAAGGUUUUCGGAUCGUAAAGCUCUGUUGUAAGAGAAGAACGAGUGUGAGAGUGGAAAGUUCACACUGUGACGGUAGCUGACCAGAAAGGGACGGCUAACUACGUG
rnacentral:rRNA from 1 species